AAUUUUUUGUGUGGUAUUAGCCAUAUUACCUAAUUAAUAAUUAUUACUAAUUAUUACUAAUUACAAUCUUUUUUUUCCUUUCGAACAUUUCGUGACGACAAAUAGUUCCUAAGUUAAUCACCUAGAUGGUACUAGUAGGCAGUCCAUAACAUAUCGCAGUUUCGUAGCCGUUUUCUGCCUGCGCAAAGCAUAGGCCGUUGGGUAACCAGUUUACAAGUAUAUCUUUAAUCGUGGUUAGAGGACAAGUCAAAACAUCGUUAUGCGGAAGGGGACAAGUCAUAUUAUAAAUUAUUAUUUUCCAAAAUAGCGUUUGUUUACAUUGUUAUUAAUAAUAAUUAUUAUAUUCAACUAUCAUUGUUCCAAAAGCAUACGAGUGACAUACGACUAAACGACUUGACAUGAUUCAUAAUUUGAGAAGUAAAAAGUAUUAUUAUUUUAAAAAAAGCUUUUAUUUACGUUGAUUAUACACAAUAUUCAUACAAUGUCAAAAAGAAUUCAACGAAUGAUGAAUCUGGCCAGUGAUAUAAAUAGAUUUCAACCAGUCAAGAGGAAACUGCUGUUUACAAAAAAAUGUAAAUCCUACAAGAAAACAUGUACAGGAAUGGGUGAAUAAUAGUGAUCCAUCCUAUAUUUUAAAUGAAAAUAAUCAUGAAGUUGAUCCAUGUUAUAAUAAUGGUAUGGACGAGUGUACUUAUAGAUAAUAGUAUAGUGAACAUCAAUGGUGAAGAUUAUACUAUAGUAUUUGGAAAUCAGUCCACAGACGUUCUACAUGAGAUUGAUGACAUCAACAAAUGGAACUGCAAUGAGAAUGAAUAUGAGUUAAAAAAUCCACUAUUAAUACCCGAUGAAAGCUAGAAAAGUCCCAAUAAAUCAGAUACAAUAAGUGUGAUUCCCGGGACUCCAGAUCAUAAUAUUAAAGUAGGGCAUGAGGAAGGUUUGAUCAACGAUGAGGAGAUAGAUAAUAAUUUCAUUGCAAGAAAAAUUAGAAUUAGUGUUAAAGGUGACACAGUCGAUUACCGAAAAUAUAGACAGUUUAAAAGAAAUUCUGGUCAAGAAUAUACCACUAAUAAAGGUAAUAAAGUUAAAGGUCGAUCUUCUGAGCCAUUACCAAAGGUUGGAGAUAAUAUUAUUACUAUCUACAAAGAAAAGUUGGUAGUUAAUAAGUAUUUACUAUUUAGUAUACCCUUAUACUUUUUAUUACAGUUUAGUUAAAGUU